rnacentral:rRNA from 1 species
UUCGGGGAACGAUAACGGCGUCGAGCGGCGGACGGGUGAGUAAUGCCUGGGAAAUUGCCCUGAUGUGGGGGAUAACCAUUGGAAACGAUGGCUAAUACCGCAUAAUAGCUUCGGCUCAAAGAGGGGGACCUUCGGGCCUCUCGCGUCAGGAUAUGCCCAGGUGGGAUUAGCUAGUUGGUGAGGUAAUGGCUCACCAAGGCGACGAUCCCUAGCUGGUCUGAGAGGAUGAUCAGCCACACUGGAACUGAGACACGGUCCAGACUCCUACGGGAGGCAGCAGUGGGGAAUAUUGCACAAUGGGCGCAAGCCUGAUGCAGCCAUGCCGCGUGUAUGAAGAAGGCCUUCGGGUUGUAAAGUACUUUCAGCAGUGAGGAAGGUGGUAGUGUUAAUAGCACUAUCAUUUGACGUUAGCUGCAGAAGAAGCACCGGCUAACUCCGUGCCAGCAGCCGCGGUAAUACGGAGGGUGCGAGCGUUAAUCGGAAUUACUGGGCGUAAAGCGCAUGCAGGUGGUUUGUUAAGUCAGAUGUGAAAGCCCGGGGCUCAACCUCGGAAUUGCAUUUGAAACUGGCAGACUAGAGUACUGUAGAGGGGGGUAGAAUUUCAGGUGUAGCGGUGAAAUGCGUAGAGAUCUGAAGGAAUACCGGUGGCGAAGGCGGCCCCCUGGACAGAUACUGACACUCAGAUGCGAAAGCGUGGGGAGCAAACAGGAUUAGAUACCCUGGUAGUCCACGCCGUAAACGAUGUCUACUUGGAGGUUGUGGCCUUGAGCCGUGGCUUUCGGAGCUAACGCGUUAAGUAGACCGCCUGGGGAGUACGGUCGCAAGAUUAAAACUCAAAUGAAUUGACGGGGGCCCGCACAAGCGGUGGAGCAUGUGGUUUAAUUCGAUGCAACGCGAAGAACCUUACCUACUCUUGACAUCCAUAGAACUUUCCAGAGAUGGAUUGGUGCCUUCGGGAACUAUGAGACAGGUGCUGCAUGGCUGUCGUCAGCUCGUGUUGUGAAAUGUUGGGUUAAGUCCCGCAACGAGCGCAACCCUUAUCCUUGUUUGCCAGCGAGUAAUGUCGGGAACUCCAGGGAGACUGCCGGUGAUAAACCGGAGGAAGGUGGGGACGACGUCAAGUCAUCAUGGCCCUUACGAGUAGGGCUACACACGUGCUACAAUGGCGCAUACAGAGGGCGGCCAACUUGCGAAAGUGAGCGAAUCCCAAAAAGUGCGUCGUAGUCCGGAUUGGAGUCUGCAACUCGACUCCAUGAAGUCGGAAUCGCUAGUAAUCGUAGAUCAGAAUGCUACGGUGAAUACGUUCCCGGGCCUUGUACACACCGCCCGUCACACCAUGGGAGUGGGCUGCAAAAGAAGUGGGU